rnacentral:rRNA from 1 species
CCUACGGGAGGCAGCAGUGAGGAAUAUUGGUCAAUGGACGAGAGUCUGAACCAGCCAAGUAGCGUGAAGGAUGACUGCCCUAUGGGUUGUAAACUUCUUUUAUAAAGGAAUAAAACGAGGCACGUGUGCCUUUUUGCAUGUACUUUAUGAAUAAGGAUCGGCUAACUCCGUGCCAGCAGCCGCGGUAAUACGGAGGAUCCGAGCGUUAUCCGGAUUUAUUGGGUUUAAAGGGAGCGUAGGUGGGUUGUUAAGUCAGUUGUGAAAGUUUGCGGCUCAACCGUAAAAUUGCAAUUGAUAAUGGCAGUCGUGAGUACAGUUGAGGUAGGCGGAAUUCGUGGUGUAGCGGUGAAAUGCUUAGAUAUCACGAAGAACCCCGAUUGCGAAGGCAGCUUACUAAACUGUGACUGACAUUGAUGCUCGAAAGUGUGGGUAUCAAACAGGAUUAGAUACCCGUGUAGUC